AAUGUUUCCCAAAGUAGUUAUGAAAUGCUUCUGAUUAAUAUCUGAUAUGUCCUUGAUGAGAGGACUUUAUAUUAAACGGAUUUUUGGGCUCGGGAGUUGGACCCGGAGCUUGCUCCCUCCGCUCCGCGCAUCGCCCCGGUAUUGCAGUGUGUCUGGGCACGGUGCACCCCUC
rnacentral:snRNA from 1 species